rnacentral:rRNA from 1 species
CAUGGCCGUUCUUAGUUGGUGGAGUGAUUUGUCUGGUUAAUUCCGUUAACGAACGAGACCUUAACCUGUUAACUAGUACUCGUGUCCAAAACAGGAGUUACUUCUUAGAGGGACUAAUGGAUUGAAGCCAUUGGAAGUUUGAGGCAAUAACAGGUCUGUGAUGCCCCUAGAUGUACCGGGCCGCACGCGUUCUACAAUGACUUGUGCAACAAGUCCUAUCCUGGCUCGAGAGAGUACGGGUAAUCUUUAUAAUGCAAGUCGUAUUAGGGAUCGAUCUUUGGAAUUAUAGAUCUUGAACAAGGAAUACCUAGUAAGUGUUCGUCAUCAGCGAGCACUGAUUACGUCCCUGUCGUUUGCACACACCGCCCGUCGCUCCUACCGAUUCCGAGUGGUGAGGUGGAAUUUGUGGACCUAGUGGCUCUCGAGGCUGUUGGGGAAGCAACUUAAACCUUAUCACUUAGAGGAAGGAUAAGUCGUAACAAGGUAACC